rnacentral:rRNA from 1 species
CAGGGCAAGAGUUUGGGCGUUUUCAUUUGCUGGUUUCUGGGCAACGGAUGCCUCUUCGGGUACAACAGCAUGCUCACCAUCGAAGAUUACCUCGUCCACCUCUUCCCAAACUACCGUCCGGUUAGAGUCAUCACUCUCACCUAUCAGCCGCUUGUGCUCGUGAUAGCUGCGGUGUUUGCCUACCAUGAGGCGAAAGUAAACACCAGGGUGCGCAACUUGGUGGGGUACUCACUCUUCUUCCUCGGCUCGCUCGCUCUCAUCAUCCUGGAUCUUGCGACGUCGGGAAGAGGUGGAAUCGCAACCUUCAUCGGCGUGUGUACGGUUGUGGCGGUGUUCGGCGUCCCGGAAGGUCAUGUAGAAGGUGCCAUGACCGGGGACCUGUCCUUGAUGUGCCCGGAGUUCAUACAGUCAUUUUCUGCUGGCAUGGCUGCAUCUGGCGCAAUAACGUCGGCCCUGAGGCUCGUUACAAAGGCGGCCUUCGAGAAAUCCAGAGACGGCCUUCGCAGGGGAGCUAUGUUGUUCUUCGCCGCAUCAUGCUUCUUUGAGCUGCUGUGCGUCGUGCUGUACGCCCACGUCUUCCCCAAGCUGCCAAUAGUGAAAUUCUACCGUGCAGAGGCGGCUUCCGAGGGAUCACUGACGGUCGUUGCCGACCUUGCUGCCGCUGGCCUCCAGGGACAGCCUAAACUAUCGGCUGAAGACGACCCAGCCAUCCCUGAACGUUUGAGCAACAAGCAGCUCCUUAUGCAGAACAUGGACUACGCCUUGGACAUGUUCCUCAUCUACCUGCUGACGCUGUCCAUCUUCCCGGGAUUUCUCGCCGAAGACCUCGGAUCACACAGCCUGGGCUCCUGGUACGCGCUGGUGCUGAUCGCGACCUACAACGGCUCGGACCUGGUCGGGAGAUACGUGCCUCUGGUGGAGAUCAUCAAGGUGACGUCCCGGAGGGGACUGCUGGCCGCGGUGCUCGCCCGGUACCUGCUCCUCCCGGCGUUCUACUGCGCCGCCAGGUACGGAGGGGAGGCCUGGAUGAUCCUGCUCGUAUCGGUUCUGGGACUCAGCAACGGGUGCCUGACCGUCUGCGUCCUGACCGAGGCGCCGAAGCCGUACAAGGGGCCAGAACAGAAUGCUCUCGGAAACCUGCUCGUGUUCUGCCUCUUGGCGGGCAUAUGUUUAGGGGCUGUUCUUGACUGGCUGUGGCUCAUAGGCAAAGGAUGGUGA